rnacentral:rRNA from 1 species
AUGCAAAAGAAAAGGAGAAAAUGGAAAACAAGAAAUAAAAUAAAAAGAGGAUGGCCUAUUCUAGUGGGCACUCCCGCCCAACCAGCCAAAUGGUUGGCCUAG